UUUUGAAAGGCUGAGCAACUAAUGUGUAAUAGCUACAUUUUGGCUGAAAUUCAGGUGGAAAAUAGAAUAUAGCCUUACCUUAGGUGUCUAUAUGAAAUAAUUUGAUAAGCUUAAGGGCUAUUAUGUAUUAUCAAUUUAAGUUGGAGGCCUUCUGCCGAGACACUCCAUUUCAUCUACCUUGGAAUCUGCGGCAGCAUUGACACUGGAAGCACCGGUACCAACCGGCUGGAAAAACUGGCGGACCUCAACGAUGGUGAAGAAAUCUUCACCAAUUUUCUCUUCUUCUUCAGGUUUCAGAAAUCUUCACCAAUUUUCUCCGGCUCUACUGUACUUGUUCAACUCUGCUCCACUCAAAGCUGAUCAGACUCGCUGUUGAGUAUUCCUCAUGUAAAAUAUGGGAUACGUCACAUCCUUGCUUUGGCCAACUUCUUCCAAGCACCAAGACAAAUGACCUAAAGAAAUAGUUGGAGAAAUUUAAAGAUCAUGUGGCAAUUUGCUGGGUCAAUAAUACAGUUGCACUUGCAGUGUUUCAACGCCAUCAAUUGGUAAUUUUGCUCAUUUCAUUGUUUCUGAUUCCAAAGUACUGAAGUUUUCCAAGUGCUUCUCAAUUCAAAGGCAAGUUUUUAUGGUUAACACACUUUCUUGAUGUUCGAUUGACGUAAUGAUAUUUUAGUUCUAUUUUGACGAGAACACGUCUCCUAGUUUGCUUUACCUCUUUAGUCAUGAACAACAAAUAGAGAGCUUGCAAUCUAAGUGUUAUGGCACUCAAGUUCAAUAAUAACCACUCUUUGGCUCUGAAUAUGGCGUUCUGUUAUGAAGAGUAUCUACAUUAUUGCUCUUUAAUGAAAAAUAUAGAGCUCACUAUGUAACUUCUAGACACUCAAUUUCAAUAAACAUCAUUCGCUGGCUAUGGAGGUGUCGAUGUUUGUCAUUUGACAUGGGGCAUUUGAGAAUCCUUGGUUUAGAAUGAAAUGACAAAAUAAUAGCUACUGUUUUAAAUUGGGAGCAGGGUAGAAGGCGGACCCAUACACCUCCGAGUUUUGAACCUGUGGGGGGUUCGGGCAGCUAACUCGUCUGAGAUUUUUCAAUUAUCAAAAAAAUAGCUAAUGGACUUUCAGAGUUGAUUAAACUUGUCCAGCUACACUACAGGUUGGAGUUACAGUUCCUCAACUACUUACAAAAGGAGGUAAGGUUACUGCUGAUAGUGAUUCUGUUGAUGAUAUUCUACAAGUCCACUUUCUCCACAAACCAUCUUAGGAUAAAAAAGUCUUGAGCAACAGUGCAACACUAGGUAAGGUGAUGUUUGAAAAAUCCUUAACUAAUUACUGCUCAACUUGUAUGUUCAGUGAAGCUCGUUUAGUUCAUUCUACAAUAUGGUAAGUUGGUAGUUGAUAGCUAGGAGUGAGGUCAAUGACAACGUUAAAUAUCACUGAGGAUGUAGCUUGUCUAGAAAUUCAUCUAGCACUACAUCUACAAAUAAUCUUCAGGCACUUGUUCAAUUACCUGAACAUGGCAGAUGAGCAACAUAUGGCUGCUCAGGAGGUGGCGAUGCCCAGCAUUGCUAAUGCCGCCUCUAGCAUUGUGAAGUCCUGGAUCACAGGGCACUUUGAGCUAAUACAGACCAUGAUCCAGUUACUACAUGCAAAUGGGCAGUUUGUGGGUCUUCCACACGAGGAUCCACAACAACACAUUCUGAACUUCUUCGAGAUUAGUGAUACUUAUAUCACUAACGGAGUCACUCCAGAUUAUGUGAGGCUCACACUAUUCAUGUUUUCUUUAUUGGGCUAAGCAAAGCGGUGGUUGAAGGCGGAACCAGCUAAUUCUAUUACAUCAUGGAAUGAUCUGGCUAGGAAACCUUUGGCACGGUUCUUCCCUUCAGGCAAAACUACAAAGAUCAGAAGUGAGAUAGUGGCCUUUAAACAAAAAUCGGAAGAGUCUUUAUAUUCAUCUUGGGAGAGGUUCAAGGCUGCUCAGAGAUUGUCCUCAUCACAAUCAGAUGAAUGAAGUGUUAGCUCAUACCUUCAUAGAAGGGCUACAUCCAGAGACAAUGAUUGUGGUGGACGGUGCAGGUCAAGUGUUGGAGAAAAUCUUCGAUGAAAUAUAUGCAUUAUUGAACAAAUUCUCCAAGAGUAAUCCUGAUUGGUAAGGAGAGAUGGGCAGACACACCGUUCAAAAAUCUGCGGAGGUCCUCGAGUUAGACGCUGUUUCUGCAUUAUCAGCACAGGUUGCCACAUUGACCAACUGAUGGAAAUGAUUCCGAGCUAUUAAGGUAAUUUGGAGCUAAUUCAAACAAGUUGUAGCUUUGAAGUCUGAGUAAAAGCCCAAGAAAUUAAGCCGGGAUCACGUUCGGGGAUCGAGGACCAAGUCUGGAUGUCAAAAAGUGAGAACAAAAAUUACUCUGAGAAAAAUACACUACCGCGUCGCGCCAUGGGUAGUGGGGUGCUAGUGCAAAAUUCUUGCAGAGUAAAAAACACGAUAGUGUAUUUUCUCGCUCAACUUUUCCCACUUCGGCUUGGAAAGGAUAGUUUUGUCAGGGUCCGUUCCUACAUGGUAUAAAUACAUAAAAAAAACAUGAAUUUUAGAGGACUUUUGACCUUGGAAGAUUUGGGAGAACAUUAUAGGCUACAUGACAAAGAAUUUCGUCAUCUUUCCAUAAAUUCAAUACGGGAGUUUGAAUUGUAAUGUUAGAUUGAUGGUUUCUUACUCUUUAAUUAUAUUUGUGAUGACUUUCUCCAUGAUUAUGGAGUAGUUUUCCUUAGGGUUUGACGGAUAUGGUGUUUUGAUAAAUAUUUGUAGAUUUUAACUCUAAUUCUUUGCUUGAAUUCGUUUAUGGA